AGAGUUUGAUCAUGGCUCAGAACGAACGCUGGCGGCGUGCUUAACACAUGCAAGUCGAACGAGAAAGAGUUCUUCGGAACUUGAGUAAAGUGGCGCACGGGUGAGUAACGCGUAGAUAACCUGUCCUGGUGUCUGGGAUAACCCUUCGAAAGGGGGACUAAUACCGGAUACGUUGAUUAUUCUUAAGAAUAAUCAAGAAAGGUGGCCUCUAUUUAUAAGCUACCGCAUUUGGAGGGGUCUGCGUACCAUUAGCUAGUUGGUGGGGUAAAAGCCUACCAAGGCUACGAUGGUUAGCGGGUCUGAGAGGAUGAUCCGUCACACUGGCACUGAAGCACGGGCCAGACUCCUACGGGAGGCAGCAGUGAGGAAUAUUGCGCAAUGGGGGAAACCCUGACGCAGCGACGCCGCGUGAGUGAGGAAGGCCUUAGGGUCGUAAAACUCUGUCAGAAGGGAAGAAAUGUUAAGAGGUUAAUACCCUUUUAAUUUGACGGUACCUUCAAAGGAAGCACCGGCUAACUCCGUGCCAGCAGCCGCGGUAAUACGGAGGGUGCAAGCGUUGUUCGGAAUCACUGGGCGUAAAGGGCGC
rnacentral:rRNA from 1 species